GUUGUGUGCAGUGGUGCACACCUGGAGUUCCAGCUACCUGGGAGGCUGAGGCGGGAGGAUCACUUGAGCCCAGGAAUUCUGGACUAUAUAGUGUGUUAUGCUGAUCGGGUGUCUGCACUAAGUUCAGCAUCAAUGCGGUGAUCUCCUGGGGAUGAGGCACCACCAGGUUUGCCUAAGGAGGUGUGAACUGACCCAGGUUGCAAAUGGAGCAGGUCAAAAUUCCCUUGCUGAUCCCUAGUGGGAUCACACCUGUGAACAGCCAUUGCAUUCCAUCCUAGGCAACACAGCAGAGAUCCUUGCUCU
rnacentral:SRP_RNA from 1 species